UAACAAAAAAAAAACUCCACAAUUUAGUCGCAAUCAUCAUGUAACAUCACAUAUUAAAUCGAACAUUCAAAUAAACAAGCGCACUAUUAACACUGAACAUCAAUCGGUAUUAAUUCACAACACUGUAAAGUGAGUGUGAUAGAUAAAUACUGGACUCAAAAACCACAUACACCGACACGAAAAUUGUUCGCUUUGUAUAUAAUAGACAACUUGACCAAAUGUUGGCCUUUCAUAACGAACAUAUUUCAAGCUGCGCGUUUUUGACGUACUUCCAGACGCGGGACAACCCAGAAAGUGCAGCAAUCGCUCAGAGUGUGUUGCAUGAAAAACAGACAUUACCAGGG